ACUGGACUGCCUGCCUGUUGCCCGACCCCGAUCUGUUUGUGAGUAACCGCAUCUGACUAACCCCUGUGAACCUCUGAACUCAGCCGGAUUAAGGACCUGGACUGGACCCCGACCCGCUCUGGAUCCGUCUCUGGACCCUCUCUGGACUUCUAACCCCUCGGCUCCUUCCCCGGACCCCCGUUUCUCUGCCCCGCUUCCUCGUUACUAGCCGGCGCUCGGAUUACCCGACUCUCCAGGGUUCCUGCAGACGUGAGCCGCUCGGGUUGCCGUGCGACCGCCAUUAAAUAAACACUUGAAAGCGUCA